ensembl:lncRNA
AAUAUAAUGAAUAAAUGUGCUACACACUAAUAAACAUGUAUAUGUGUGCAAUGAUAGUAACAAAUACACAGUCGUAUAACCGGCCUAUCAUUAUAUUAACACAGUUAUAUAUGCAUACGUUAAUAAAGAAUAAACAUGGUUGCAAUUGCGCUUAAUGUCCACAAGGGCGCUCCAGAGGGCCACCUACAGAGGUUUCAUAACUUGGCCCUCGUGUUUAAUGGCGGACAGAGCGAGGCAGAUCAAUUAACCUUAGCAGAGAACAUAAAUGCGCUUUGGCACAGCGAAAUCCCUCUAUGUAAGGUCGUCCUGCUCACCACAGUCUUCACUUCUGCUGAUGAAGCCGCUCUGCUGAGAGAUGAUCAGCAUCAACAACAGCCUGCUGAUCUGAUGAGAAGUCUGCAGCAAGUGAAACAAAGAGGACACUGCGGGAGGAGAGAAGGAGGAUGCACUUUGACAGGACAUGGGCAACCUUUUGAACCAUCUUUUGACCAGCAAAGGAAAGAAAGGGGACAGACGGAAAACAAACCAAUUCCAUUCCAGAGACUCUGUGGGAGGAGACCAGGAGGAUGCACUACAGCGGGAUGGAAGCCACGCCGAAAAAUAGACAUCUAGAGUCAAGCUCUGCAGGAAGUGCCAUCAGAUGCAGAAGAUUGCAAAUGAAUGAAGAUAAUUGUAAUGCUUAUAAAACAAUGCAAAUGCUUUUAAUCAGAAAUAAAAGAUUUCAAAUCAGA